UCCUGGCCUGGAAGUGGGGCAGUAACAUGACUGCAGCCGCCCAGCUGAGAGUCCCCCAGGCUCCGCCACCAAACCCCCAGGUAGGACAAAAGGCGACAGAGGUGGCAGGUACCAGAUGCAAACAGGAGUGAGAGGGGCUCCGCUAUGAAUUAUUGGUAUAAUGGUAGACCCAGACAUGAGUGUGAGCCCUGGAGCUGGACACUGUACAUGGUCUCAGUCUGACCGUAGCCAAUUGUCAAAAAUCAAAGUAACCAUUAGCCGGUUCAUUUAUGCCUGAGAAAACAGUAUAGCCAUGGCUUAUGGUUGCUUUCCUAAUGCCGCCAAGCUCUUCUUUCUGACCAAGGCAGGUCCUGGCACAGGAAAAAAUCUGGCCCAGGAGCACAGAGGGAAUCCAGUGACUAUCAAAGUCCAGCAUUCGCCCGUCUGUUAGGAAAACAGAGCAAUUUCCUGAGCAGAUGAUUCUUGUGGGAAGGUGGCGAGGCUGCGGCACAGCUGAGAUGAGAGAGACUCUGCAGGAGACCGCAAAGGGGGAAGGAGAUCAAGCCACACAACGGUACCGAGCUGCAAAUGUGUGGUACGAAGCAUGUGGUCAUGUACCGACAGCCACGUAGGAACUUUGUGGUAGUCCAUAAACUGUUUAUCAUGGACAUGGAGAAUAACAUCUUCUAAUGGAAACUCAGUUUGUCAAAGUCAACAUUUUUGGCAGCAAAGUACGUAGCAGGAUAGAAUUUCUGGGCAAGACCAAUGAGAGACAGCAUGUCCCACGUCCCCCAAAUCACUUAGCACUUGUGCCACUCACCUAGGAUGUAAGGUUCAAGUCUCCAGAGCAGGGGGACUGCACCUCAGUCUUAGACAUUUCAGGUAGACAUGCCAAAGCACUGGCACUGGGGGGCAACUUCCCUGUUACAUUGUACCCCACCCUCUUUAUCCUGAGAUCCUUGUCCCUGGGAUCCAUCAGACUGUGUCCAUCUUCCUGGAGUGAAUUCGGGGGCACAACCCUGUAGGGGAGGGCUGUCAGUACAGGCAGUGCCCUGUUUCCCACCCAACAGGCAACCCCCAUCCCCCCAUACAUACAGGGCCUCUCCCUAGCCUACAUCUUCAUAGGUGUCAUAGAUAUUAGGGGCUGGAAGGGACCUCAUGAGAUCAUCGGGUCCAGCCCCCUACCAUAAGCGGGAAGUCAGGUGGGAUCAAGUGAGCCCAGAAAGAAAUAUAUCCACCUGGUUUUUGAAGGAGUCCAGAGUAGGUGCUUGCACCACCUCUGGGGGGAGUCCCCUGGGGCUGGUCAAACAUGGUCUGUCAAAGCUGCUUUCCCACAGAACAGCCUUUGUGCCCGAAAGCUUGCAAUUAAAGAAUUUUUUUUUUGCAAAAAUCUUGUUGGUCUAAUAAAAGAUACCAUCUCUA